UCCCAGUGAGGAAACACAUAUGUUACUUCCUGUCCUAUUCCUAGAGCCUGUAAAGGUGGCCCACUGGGGCUGGCUGGGAGGAAAGAGGAAAGUGUGUUGCAGAAGGAACUGUCCGAGGGAU
rnacentral:snoRNA from 14 species